GGCCAACGGGUGAGUAACACGUGAGCAACCUGCCCCUGACUCUGGGAUAAGCGCUGGAAACGGCGUCUAAUACUGGAUAUGUGACGUGACCGCAUGGUCUGCGUCUGGAAAGAAUUUCGGUUGGGGAUGGGCUCGCGGCCUAUCAGCUUGUUGGUGAGGUAAUGGCUCACCAAGGCGUCGACGGGUAGCCGGCCUGAGAGGGUGACCGGCCACACUGGGACUGAGACACGGCCCAGACUCCUACGGGAGGCAGCAGUGGGGAAUAUUGCACAAUGGGCGCAAGCCUGAUGCAGCAACGCCGCGGUGAGGGCACGACGGCCUUCGGGUUGUAAACCUCUUUUAGCAGGGAAGAAGCGAAAGUGACGGUACCUGCAGAAAAAGCGCCGGCUAACUACGUGCCAGCAGCCGCGGUAAUACGUAGGGCGCAAGCGUUAUCCGGAAUUAUUGGGCGUAAAGAGCUCGUAGGCGGUUUGUCGCGUCUGCUGUGAAAUCCGGAGGGCUCAACCUCCGGCC
rnacentral:rRNA from 1 species